rnacentral:rRNA from 1 species
AAUAUUGCACAAUGGAGGGAACUCUGAUGCAGCGACGCCGCGUGAAGGAAGAAGGUUUUCGGAUCGUAAACUUCUAUCAGCAGGGAAGAAAAUGACGGUACCUGACUAAGAAGCCCCGGCUAACUACGUGCCAGCAGCCGCGGUAAUACGUAGGGGGCAAGCGUUAUCCGGAAUUACUGGGUGGAAAGGGUGCGUAGGCGGUAAUGAAAGUCAGGUGUGAAAGCCCGAAGCUCAACUUCGGGAUUGCACUUGAAACUUCAUAACUAGAGUACAGGAGAGGUGAGUGGAAUUCCUAGUGUAGCGGUGAAAUGCGUAGAUAUUAGGAGGAACACCAGUGGCGAAGGCGACUCACUGGACUGUAACUGACGCUGAGGCACGAAAGCGUGGGUAGCGAACAGG